rnacentral:rRNA from 1 species
UAGAGUUUGAUCAUGGCUCAGGACGACCGUUGGCGGCGUGCUUAAUACAUGCAAGUCAACGAUUUUUAAGCUAUCAAUAUUUUAAAAAUAGUGGCGCACGGGUGAGUAACACGUAGAUAAUCUGCCUUUAGGUCUGACAUAACUCGUCGAAAGACGGGCUAAUAUCAGAUAAAACAAUAACUUGGCAUCAAGUAAUUGUCAAAGCUUCGGCGCCCAAAGAUGAGUCUGCGGACCAUUAGGUAGUUGGUGGAUUAACAGCCCACCAAGCCAACGAUGGAUAGCUGGUCUGAGAGGAUGAUCAGCCACACUGGAACUGAGACACGGUCCAGACUCCUACGGGAGGCAGCAGUAAGGAAUAUUGCUCAAUGGGAGAAAUCCUGAAGCAGCAACGCCGCGUGAAGGA